AUGAGUUUAGAUAUCCCACACUUGCAAGGAUGGCAAGAGACUUUUUGACAAUUCCGGUUUCUACCGUCGCAUCGGAGUCCACAUUUAGUGCAAGUGGGAGAGUUCUUAAUGAACAUCGAAGCUCACUUGGUAAAGAUACCGUUGAGGCUCUAAUAUGCACAAAGGAUUGGUUAUAUGGAGAUUAUUGUUCUAACGAAGUUAAUUUGGAU
rnacentral:lncRNA from 1 species